UAAGGUCAAUUUAACCUAUCCCACCUAGCAGUCACCACUACAGAUGUUGCCUUUAUGUAUUUUCUCACUUUUCGCCUUUCUAAAUUUUUCUUCCUUCAGUUAUACAAGUUUCAGUCUGUUUUCUUUGUCGAUUUGUACCACUUUUGUAUUCAUCACUUAAAUUCAUCGGUUCUUGAUGUUGUGUCAAUUUUUUUGACAAGAGAAAUUGGAGUUUCGGUUGAAUUUCUCUGCCGCCCAAAGUCUCCGCAGCGUCUAACCACAAAUUAAAGCUAGUAUCUUCUUCUCCAGGUCUAUUUCCGCAAUUAGCUAGAGGAAUAUCUUAUAUUUUUAUUUUAAGGAACUGAAUUAUCAGUUUAUGAAAAUAGAGUUGGCGGUGAUAUCUAAGCCUUUGAAUGCUUCGACAACUUCGUCAAUUGGGUGGUAAAGUGAGUUGCUGUUGAAUUUCAAGAAGAUUAAGAGAAAUAAGAAGAGGUUCUCGGUGAUGAAAGUUAAGUUACGGUGGAGCAAACUGGUGGGAUUAAAAUCGUAAAGGAAGGAUCAAAGGAUCAAUCGCCUUCACACCUAGACUUGACAAACAAGAAAUUACUGUUAUAACGGAGGAGAUACAAAAAAAGAUGGAGAAACUUCAAGAUGACAUGAAUAGCAUAAAGCAACAACAUGAAGUAUCAGCUAAGUGUGCCAAUGGAUUGGAUUCCCUUGAGAUCUUAGAUAAGGCUAUCACGAGUUCAAUGCCUGCAAAAUGUUCCACUUCUAUAAUUUUAUGUGAUUUGCACUGCAUCUGUAUGAUGCAUGUAUUAAUAUCUAUAUAAAAGUUUAUUAACGUUAUGCUCUGUGCUUCUUUCUAAAACUGUACACUCUCGAUUGUUUGGUGGCUUAACACCAUAUAACAACUCGAUCAAACAUCAUAUUAGUAUUUAUUUGUUCGGCGUA